GGUUCGAUGCCACGUCGACGGUAGCUAAAAAAAUGCCUUGACCGAAGAUGCUAUGAUUGAACCGAUAAUAAGCUUUUUGUGCUUUUCGCAUUCUUAUAGGAACCUGUGAACUGCUUAUUUUUCCGUUCAUUCACAGAGCCGUUUUUUGCGAUCACAUUU